GCCUAUCUGCAGUCGAGCGACUGAUUAGAAGCUUGCUUCUAUGACGUUAGCGGCGGACGGGUGAGUAACACGUGGGCAACCUGCCUGUAAGACUGGGAUAACUUCGGGAAACCGAAGCUAAUACCGGAUAGGAUCUUCUCCUUCAUGGGAGAUGAUUGAAAGAUGGUUUCGGCUAUCACUUACAGAUGGGCCCGCGGUGCAUUAGCUAGUUGGUGAGGUAACGGCUCACCAAGGCAACGAUGCAUAGCCGACCUGAGAGGGUGAUCGGCCACACUGGGACUGAGACACGGCCCAGACUCCUACGGGAGGCAGCAGUAGGGAAUCUUCCGCAAUGGACGAAAGUCUGACGGAGCAACGCCGCGUGAGUGAUGAAGGCUUUCGGGUCGUAAAACUCUGUUGUUAGGGAAGAACAAGUACGAGAGUAACUGCUCGUACCUUGACGGUACCUAACCAGAAAGCCACGGCUAACUACGUGCCAGCAGCCGCGGUAAUACGUAGGUGGCAAGUGUUAUCCGGAAUUAUUGGGC
rnacentral:rRNA from 1 species